UCAUUACUGAGUUUACGCUCUACAACCCUUUGUGAACAUACCUAUAACUGUUGCUUCGGCGGGUAGGGUCUCCGUGACCCUCCCGGCCUCCCGCCCCCGGGCGGGUCGGCGCCCGCCGGAGGAUAACCAAACUCUGAUUUAACGACGUUUCUUCUGAGUGGUACAAGCAAAUAAUCAAAACUUUUAACAACGGAUCUCUUGGUUCUGGCAUCGAUGAAGAACGCAGCGAAAUGCGAUAAGUAAUGUGAAUUGCAGAAUUCAGUGAAUCAUCGAAUCUUUGAACGCACAUUGCGCCCGCCAGCAUUCUGGCGGGCAUGCCUGUUCGAGCGUCAUUUCAACCCUCAAGCUCUGCUUGGUGUUGGGGCCCUACAGCUGAUGUAGGCCCUCAAAGGUAGUGGCGGACCCUCCCGGAGCCUCCUUUGCGUAGUAACUUUACGUCUCGCACUGGGAUCCGGAGGGACUCUUGCCGUAAAACCCCCCAAUUUUCCAAAGGUUGACCUCGGAUCAGGUAGGAAUACCCGCUGAACUUAAGCAUAUCAAUAAGCGGAGGAAAAGAAACCAACAGGGAUUGCCUCAGUAACGGCGAGUGAAGCGGCAACAGCUCAAAUUUGAAAAA
rnacentral:rRNA from 1 species